ensembl:snoRNA
UAGGUGUGCUCAGAGCAGGGGCUUAAGAAUGGCUCCUCUGUUUAUAACAUACCCAACAGGAAUCUGGGGUCAUUGUGAUGAGGGGCACAAAACUUGUGGCCUCCCUAUGAACAAAUUUCUUACAUGA